rnacentral:rRNA from 1 species
UACGAAGGGGGCUAGCGUUGCUCGGAAUUACUGGGCGUAAAGCGCACGUAGGCGGUCUUUUAAGUCGGGGGUGAAAUCCUGGAGCUCAACUCCAGAACUGCCUUCGAUACUGGAAGACUUGAGUCCGGGAGAGGUGAGUGGAACUGCGAGUGUAGAGGUGAAAUUCGUAGAUAUUCGCAAGAACACCAGUGGCGAAGGCGGCUCACUGGCCCGGUACUGACGCUGAGGCACGAAAGCGUGGGGAGCAAACAGG